rnacentral:ribozyme from 14 species
ACUCUACAAAUGCACAUGAGAGGAGAGGGGUGGAGAGAAAAGGAACAGGCAGAAGAAAAGCGCUGGACAAGCAUAGCAACAUAUAAUGAACAAAUGAAUCGGUCAAUUCAGAAACCCCUUUUGAAUUUUUCUUUUUGAUUUUUUUUUAUGUGUU